rnacentral:sRNA from 1 species
GCUUUCAACAUCCCCGUUCCGGCCAGCCCGGAACUGAAAGC